UGGAGUAAUGCUUAGGGAUCUGCCUAGUAGUGGUGGGAUAACUUGGGGAAACCCAAGCUAAUACCGCAUACGACCUACGGGUGAAAGGGGGCUUUUAGCUCUCGCUAUUAGAUGAGCCUAAGUCGGAUUAGCUGGUUGGUGGGGUAAAGGCCUACCAAGGCGACGAUCUGUAGCUGGUCUGAGAGGAUGAUCAGCCACACUGGGACUGAGACACGGCCCAG
rnacentral:rRNA from 1 species